GAUGAACGCUGGCGGCGUGCUUAACACAUGCAAGUCGAACGGAAAGGCCCAAGCUUGCUUGGGUACUCGAGUGGCGAACGGGUGAGUAACACGUGGGUGAUCUGCCCUGCACUUCGGGAUAAGCCUGGGAAACUGGGUCUAAUACCGGAUAGGACGAUGGUUUGGAUGCCAUUGUGGAAAGUUUUUUCGGUGUGGGAUGAGCUCGCGGCCUAUCAGCUUGUUGGUGGGGUAAUGGCCUACCAAGGCGUCGACGGGUAGCCGGCCUGAGAGGGUGUACGGCGACAUUGGGACUGAGAUACGGCCCAGACUCCUACGGGAGGCAGCAGUGGGGAAUAUUGCACAAUAGGCGCAAGCCUGAGGCGGCGACGCCGCGUGGGGGAUGACGGCCUUCGGGUGGUAAACUCCUUUCGCUAGGGACGAAGCGUGUUUGUGACGGUACCUGGAGAAGAAGCACCGGCUAACUACGUG
rnacentral:rRNA from 1 species